AAUUGUAACUAAGAACUAUGAAGAAGUAGGAAAAACUAUAAAGAAUUAUUGUGAAGGUAAUAGUUAGUGGUAUCCUUUUUAUAGAAGAAAAUGAAGGGUAUGAUUGGUAAAAAAGAAAUAAAAUUUUCACCUAAUUUUUCAAAGACAAUAAGCAACCAUGAACGUGAAACGCAGAAGCUACAAAUUUUAGCUUCUCCUGAACGUGCGUUCAGAAGCAGAAUCAAUUCUGCGUUCAGGAAAAUAAAAAUGGCCAAACAUAAAAGUGAAGCUUUCAAGAAGUUCAAACGUGUAUCUCUCGUUUAUUUUCUUCCUAGGAUGAGGAACAAUAACGUAGCGGUUAUUUAAGAGCAGUGUUAGAAGACAUUGCAUAAUUUUUUAAUUACGGAUCAAAUUUCAACUUUUAUUUAUUUAUUUAUUUUUAUCGCGAUGGCCACAACAUUGAUUCCUACCAUUCAAAUAUCCUCCUCAAAUCGGAAGUGGAGACGAUGACUAAAGAUCAUAGUAUCAUACUUUUCCUUCUUCCAUGAGUCCAAAAUACUCCAAAUAUAGAAUAAAGCAUCUAAUGCAGUAGCAUUUUAAUAUUUCCAAACGAUGUGAAGACUAAACUCACUGAAGACUGAUCCCAACUCCCAAGGUCUUAAUUUUCCAUGCACGGGUACAAAGAUUACAAGAGGAAUCUUGUCUCUGCCACAAAUCCUGUCUCCAUAACUGGACUCCAAUGUCUUGCUGCUGCAACCCACUAGCCAAAGUCCACUCAAGUCAGUAUUGGAUAGGCACCUUCAUAUUUCAGAUUACAUGCUUCAAUAAUGUGAUGGCAAUAAGUUUGAAGUCUGAAUAUUCUUCAUAUGGCAAUCAUAGAAACCUGUAUCUUGAAGAGAAGGAAAGCAAAAGGUUGUGUAGUUAAAUAAAGGGUAAAAGUGAUUGAACUUUUUCUCCACUUUUUGUGUAAUUUUAUGGCAAGGAUGAAAAGGGCUCUCAAGUUUGGAAACGUAAAGAAUAAACAAAGCAAAAAGG